GCCGGGAUGGCGGAACUGGCAGACGCACGGGACUUAAAAUCCCGCGACCGCAAGGUUAUAAGGGUUCAAUUCCCUUUCCCGGCA
rnacentral:tRNA from 1 species